AUUGAACGCUGGCGGCAUGCCUUACACAUGCAAGUCGAACGGCAGCACGGGUGCUUGCACCUGGUGGCGAGUGGCGAACGGGUGAGUAAUGCAUCGGAACGUACCCGGAAGUGGGGGAUAACGUAGCGAAAGUUACGCUAAUACCGCAUAUUCUGUGAGCAGGAAAGAGGGGGAUCGCAAGACCUCUCGCUUUCGGAGCGGCCGGUGCCGGAUUAGCUAGUUGGCGGGGUAAAGGCCCACCAAGGCAACGAUCCGUCGCGGGUCUGAGAGGAUGAUCCGCCACACUGGGACUGAGACCCGGGCCAGACUCCUACGGGAGGCAGCAGUGGGGAAUUUUGGACAAGGGGCGCAAGCCUGAUCCAGCCAUGCCGCGCGAGUGAAGAAGGCCUUCGGGUUGUAAAGCUCUUUCGGCUGGGAAGAAAUCGCAUCUCCUAAUACGGGGUGUGGAUGACGGUACCAGCAUAAGAAGCACCGGCUAACUACGUGCCAGCAGCCGCAGUAAGAC
rnacentral:rRNA from 1 species